rnacentral:misc_RNA from 1 species
UCCGGCUUAUCACCGGCAGUCCCUCUAGAGUGCCCAACUAAAUGAUGGCAACUAAAGGCGAGGGUUGCGCUCGUUGCGGGACUUAACCCAACAUCUCACGACACGAGCUGACGACAGCCAUGCAGCACCUAAGCAGCGGCCCCUUGCGGGGAAGAGGACUUUCAUCCCCGGUCCGCUGCUCUUCAAACCCAGGUAAGGUUCUUCGCGUUGCAUCGAAUUGAACCACAUGCUCCACCGCUUGUGCAGGCCCCCGUCAAUUCCUUUGAGUUUUAAUCUUGCGACCGUACUCCCCAGGCGGGGCACUUAAUGCGUUAGCUGCGGCACCCAGGGGGUCAAUACCCCGGACACCUAGUGCCCAUCGUUUACAGCGUGGACUAC